CUUUUAUAAUUUUAUAUGUUUCGAUAAGAUACCCCCUCAUCCUCCAGUGAAUACAAGCCUAGUCUUUUCAAUCUUUCCUCAUAUCACAGUCCAGCCAACCCAGGGAACAAUCUCUUGAACCCACGCUGCACUGCCUCAAUCACAAGGAUGUCCUUCCUCAAAUUAGGAGACCAAAACUGUACACAAUACUCCAGAUGUGGUCUCACCAGAGCCCUAUACAACUGCAGAAGAACGCCCUCAACGCCUACAACGUGACGGAUCGUAAUAUCAGGACAAAACAAAAGAUGUCUCCGAAGAGGAAAUGCAAAAUUGUCAAUCCAAAUGCCAAGCAAAAGAGACUGAUUUAGACAGCAUUCGCAGAGAUUAUCUGAAUUUGGACUACACCAAAUGUGAUGAUCUAAAGGACAUUCUUAAUGGGAAAGUAGUGGGCAGAAAGGCAUGUCAUGCAUGGUUUGAAGAGCAAAAACUUAACAGUUUACAAUGCCAAAAUUGAGAAGUUGAGAAAAAACAAGGUGUACAGAGUUGCUUAUUGGUUAAAAUCUGAGGAGUAUGAUGAUGCUACUGAUUAUUAUAUGCCAAUGUACCAGCUAGCAACUGAUCUUCUCCAUAAAGACUUGGUCUAUUGCUAGAAAUUGUAAUUUAUUUACCUAUCUGUUAUGGACUUACAGCAUAUAAUACAAUAAUAUUAAAGUUCUGAUCUUGAGAAUA